rnacentral:rRNA from 1 species
UACGUAGGGGGCAAGCGUUGUCCGGAAUCAUUGGGCGUAAAGCGCGUGUAGGCGGUUCGGUAAGUCGGCUGUGAAAGUCCAGGGCUCAACCCUGGGAUGCCGGUCGAUACUGCCGGACUAGAGUUCGGAAGAGGCGAGUGGAAUUCCCGGUGUAGCGGUGAAAUGCGUAGAUAUCCGGAAGAACACCGGUGGCGAAGGCGGCCUGCUGGGGUACCAGACAGACUUCGGUCUGUCGGCUGACACUGAGGCGCGACAGCGUGGGGAGCAAACAGG